AACAGAAGUGUUCUUUCAUGAUUCUAUGCAUAGUGGUGCAUGGCCGUUCUUAGUUGGUGGAGCGAUUUGUCUGGUUAAUUCCGAUAACGAACGAGACCUCAGCCAUCUAACUAGCUGUCGCUAGUUCUCUAGCGUUUGCUCGCGCAAGAUCAGCUUCUUAGAGGGACAAUCUGCGCCUAGCAGAUGGAAGAUUGAGGCUAUAACAGGUCAGUGAUGCCCUUAGAAGGUCUGGGCUGCACGCGCGCUACAAUGACUCAGACAACGGGUCCAGCCGAACCUGAAAAGGCGAGGUAAUCCCCAAACUGGGUCCA
rnacentral:rRNA from 1 species